CGGGCGGGCCGUGACUGGCGCGCUGGGAUGGGACCGACCAUCGGGGAGCGGCUCGUGCAGUGAGCGAGUGCCGUGCGCCUGGGCCGACCGU
rnacentral:ncRNA from 2 species